rnacentral:rRNA from 1 species
GUCCACACCGUAAACGUUGGGCGCUAGGUGUGGGACUCAUUCCACGAGUUCCGUGCCGCAGCUAACGCAUUAAGCGCCCCGCCUGGGGAGUACGGCCGCAAGGCUAAAACUCAAAGGAAUUGACGGGGGCCCCGCACAAGCGGCGGAGCAUGCGGAUUAAUUCGAUGCAACGCGAAGAACCUUACCUGGGUUUGACAUAUGGAGAAAUCUCCCAGAGAUUGGAGGUCCGUAAGGGCUCUAUACAGGUGGUGCAUGGCUGUCGU